UACGUAGGGGGCGAGCGUUGUCCGAAGUUACUGGGCGUAAAGAGUACGUAGGUGGCUUGUUAAGAUACAUCUGAAAGGUGACAGCUCAACUGUCAAUGGUGGUGUAAGACUGGCAGGCUUGAGGCAAGCAGAAGAGUGUGGAACUCCGAGUGUAGCGGUGGAAUGCGUAGAGAUUCGGAAGAACACCCAUGGCGAAGGCAGCACUCUGGGCUUGAACCGCAAGGUGAACCUGACACUGAGGUACGAAAGCCAGGGGAGCGAAGCGGG
rnacentral:rRNA from 1 species